CAAAGAUAAAAUUUCAAAAGCGUGAUUUCGAACUUCAAAAUUUAAGAUAAGAUUUCGGACGCCAUGAUUUAUUAAAGCUUUGACAAGUCUCAACUGACAUUUUUGUAACAGUAAAAAGUUUGGCUUAAUGAAAGAAUAUGUCACCGAGAGUAAUAUCGAUUUAUGGUGACGGAAAUUGUCUGUUCAGAUCGAUUUCUUAUUGCGUAUACAAUAAUCAAGAAAGACAUCGAGAAAUACGGUUGAACGUCGUUAAUAGAGUUGUUAGUGAAUGGAAUAGAUAUAAAAACUUUAUAAUCGGCGACACAUCGUACAGUUUAACUAUAAUGAGUUCUUCGGAUUAUCAAAGAUUAAUGUCCAGAGAUGGUCAAUACGGCGGGCAUGUGGAAAUACACUGCGCAAGCGAACUAUACAAUGACUACACAUUUAAGGUACACGUCAACAUGAGCAAUAGAACAAUAGAUUAUGGAAGAGGUAGAGUAAUUAAACACCUAUUAUUUUCGGGAUGUUUUGAUGCAGGUCAUUAUAGCGUACUGGAAUACGGCGAUGAUUAAAUAAAUUUCUUUACUGAUUA